GCGGCGGACGGGUGAGUAACACGUGGGUAACCUGCCUGUAAGACUGGGAUAACUCCGGGAAACCGGGGCUAAUACCGGAUGCUUGAUUGAGCCGCAUGGUUCAAUUAUAAAAGGUGGCUUUCAGCUACCACUUACAGAUGGACCCGCGGCGCAUUAGCUAGUUGGUGAGGUAACGGCUCACCAAGGCGACGAUGCGUAGCCGACCUGAGAGGGUGAUCGGCCACACUGGGACUGAGACACGGCCCAGACUCCUACGGGAGGCAGCAGUAGGGAAUCUUCCGCAAUGGACGAAAGUCUGACGGAGCAACGCCGCGUGAGUGAUGAAGGUUUUCGGAUCGUAAAACUCUGUUGUUAGGGAAGAACAAGUACCGUUCGAAUAGGGCGGCACCUUGACGGUACCUAACCAGAAAGCCACGGCUAACUACGUGCCAGCAGCCGCGGUAAUACGUAGGUGGCAAGCGUUGUCCGGAAUUAUUGGGCGUAAAGCGCGCGCAGGCGGUUUCUUAAGUCUGAUGUGAAAGCCCCCGGCUCAACCGGGGAGGGUCAUUGGAAACUGGGGACUUGAGUGCAGAAGAGGAGAGUGGAAUUCCACGUGUAGCGGUGAAAUGCGUAGAGAUGUGGAGGAACACCAGUGGCGAAGGCGACU
rnacentral:rRNA from 1 species